rnacentral:lncRNA from 1 species
AAAAUUAUAGCCUAUUCAUCAAUUGCCCACAUAGGAUGAAUAUUAGCAAUCCUUCCUUACAACCCAUCCCUCACACUACUCAACCUCAUAAUCUAUAUUAUUCUUACAGUCCCUAUAUUCAUAGCACUUAUACUAAAUAGCUCUAUAACCAUUAACUCAAUCUCACUUCUAUGAAAUAAAACCCCAGCAAUACUAACCAUAAUCUCACUGAUAUUACUAUCCCUAGGAGGUCUUCCACCACUAACAGGAUUUCUACCAAAAUGAAUUAUCAUCACAGAACUUAUAAAAAAUAACUGUCUAAUCAUAGCAACACUCAUAGCAAUAAUAGCCCUCCUAAACCUAUUCUUUUAUACUCGCCUAAUUUAUUCCACUUCACUAACAAUAUUUCCAACCAACAAUAACUCAAAAAUAAUAACUCACCAAACAAAAACUAAACCCAACCUAAUAUUUUCCACCCUAGCUGUCAUAAGUACAAUAACCCUACCCCUAGCCCCCCAACUAAUUAUCUAG